GACGAACGCUGGCGGCGUGCUUAACACAUGCAAGUCGAACGGAAAGGCCCUGCUUUUGUGGGGUGCUCGAGUGGCGAACGGGUGAGUAACACGUGAGUAACCUGCCCUUGACUUUGGGAUAACUUCAGGAAACUGGGGCUAAUACCGGAUAGGAGCUCCUGCUGCAUGGUGGGGGUUGGAAAGUUUCGGCGGUUGGGGAUGGGCUCGCGGCUUAUCAGCUUGUUGGUGGGGUAGUGGCUUACCAAGGCUUUGACGGGUAGCCGGCCUGAGAGGGUGACCGGCCACAUUGGGACUGGGAUCCGACCCAGACUCCUACGGGGGGAAGCGGUGGGAAAUAUUCCAAAAUGGGCGGAGGCCGGAUGCAGCAACGCCGCGUGCGGGAUGACGGCCUUCGGGUUGUAAACCGCUUUCGCCUGUGACGAAGCGUGAGUGACGGUAAUGGGUAAAGAAGCACCGGCUAACUACGU
rnacentral:rRNA from 1 species